AGUGAACGCUGGCGGUAGGCCUAACACAUGCAAGUCGAACGGCAGCACAGUAAGAGCUUGCUCUUACGGGUGGCGAGUGGCGGACGGGUGAGGAAUACAUCGGAAUCUACUUUUUCGUGGGGGAUAACGUAGGGAAACUUACGCUAAUACCGCAUACGACCUACGGGUGAAAGCAGGGGAUCUUCGGACCUUGCGCGAUUGAAUGAGCCGAUGUCGGAUUAGCUAGUUGGCGGGGUAAAGGCCCACCAAGGCGACGAUCCGUAGCUGGUCUGAGAGGAUGAUCAGCCACACUGGAACUGAGACACGGUCCAGACUCCUACGGGAGGCAGCAGUGGGGAAUAUUGGACAAAGGGCGCAAGCCUGAUCCAGCCAUACCGCCUGGGUGAAGAAGGCCUUCGGGUUGUAAAGCCCUUUUGUUGGGAAAGAAAAGCAGCAGGUUAAUACCCCGCUGUUCUGACGGUACCCAAAGAAUAAGCACCGGCUAACUUCGUG
rnacentral:rRNA from 1 species